GGCUCCAUAGCUCAGUGGGAGCACUGGUCUUGUAAACCAGGGGGUGAGUUCAAUUCUCACUGGGGCCU